UACAGAGGGUGCAAGCGUUGUUCGGAAUUACUGGGCGUAAAGCGCGUGUAGGCGGCCCUGCAAGUCGGAUGUGAAAUCCCACGGCUCAACCGUGGAAGUGCAUUCGAAACUGCAGGGCUAGAGUCCUGGAGAGGAAGGUGGAAUGCUUGGUGUAGAGGUGAAAUUCGUAGAUAUCAAGCGGAACACCGGUGGCGAAGGCGGCCUUCUGGACAGUGACUGACGCUGAGACGGCGAAAGCGUGGGGAGCAAACAGGG
rnacentral:rRNA from 1 species